rnacentral:rRNA from 1 species
UACGUAGGGGGGCAAGCGUUGUCCGGAAUUAUUGGGCGUAAAGAGCGCGUAGGCGGUCCGAUAAGUCGGCUGUGAAAGUCAGGGGCUCAACCCCUUGAAAGCCGGCCGAUACUGUCGGACUAGAGUCCGGAAGAGGCAAGUGGAAUUCCCCGGUGUAGCGGUGAAAUGCGCAGAUAUCAGGAGGAACACCGAUGGCGAAGGCAGGUCUCUGGGCCACUACUGACGCUGAGGUGCGAAAGCGUGGGGGAGCAAACAGG